rnacentral:rRNA from 1 species
UGGGGAAUAUUGCACAAUGGGCGCAAGCCUGAUGCAGCCAUGCCGCGUGUGUGAAGAAGGCCUUCGGGUUGUAAAGCACUUUCAGCGAGGAGGAAGGGUAGUGUGUUAAUAGCACAUUGCAUUGACGUUACUCGCAGAAGAAGCACCGGCUAACUCCGUGCCAGCAGCCGCGGUCAUACGGAGGGUGCAAGCGUUAAUCGGAAUUACUGGGCGUAAAGCGCACGCAGGCGGUUUGUUAAGUCAGAUGUGAAAUCCCCGCGCUUAACGUGGGAACUGCAUUUGAAACUGGCAAGCUAGAGUCUUGUAGAGGGGGGUAGAAUUCCAGGUGUAGCGGUGAAAUGCGUAGAGAUCUGGAGGAAUACCGGUGGCGAAGGCGGCCCCCUGGACAAAGACUGACGCUCAGGUGCGAAAGCGUGGGGAGCAAACA